UCGGGAAUUUUGUGCAAUGGGCGAAAGCCUGACACAGCAACGCCGCGUGAAGGAUGAAGUCCCUCGGGAUGUAAACUUCGUAAGAAUAGGAAGAAUAAAUGACGGUACUAUUUGUAAGGUCCGGCUAACUACGUGCCAGCAGCCGCGGUAAUACGUAGGGACCAAGCGUUGUUCGGAUUUACUGGGCGUAAAGGGUGCGUAGGCGGCAUAUCAAGUCACUUGUGAAAUCUCCGGGCUUAACUCGGAACUGCCAAGUGAUACUGAUGUGCUAGAGUGCAGAAAGGGCAACUGGAAUUCUUGGUGUAGCGGUGAAAUGCGUAGAUAUCAAGAGGAACACCUGAGGCGAAGGCGAGUUGCUAGGCUGACACUGACGCUGAGGUACGAAAGCUAGGGGAGCGAACGGGAUUAGAUACCCGCGUAGUCCCUGAGCGGGCUGGCAAGGCGCAU
rnacentral:rRNA from 1 species